GACGAACGCUGGCGGCGUGCUUAACACAUGCAAGUCGAACGGAAAGGCCUCUUUCGGGGGGUACUCGAGUGGCGAACGGGUGAGUAACACGUGAGUAACCUGCCCUUGACUUUGGGAUAACUUCAGGAAACUGGGGCUAAUACCGGAUAGGAGCUCCUGCUGCAUGGUGGGGGUUGGAAAGUUUCGGCGGUUGGGGAUGGACUCGCGGCUUAUCAGCUUGUUGGUGGGGUAGUGGCUUACCAAGGCUUUGACGGGUAGCCGGCCUGAGAGGGUGACCGGCCACAUUGGGACUGAGAUACGGCCCAGACUCCUACGGGAGGCAGCAGUGGGGAAUAUUGCACAAGGGGUGGAAGCCGGAUGCAGCAACGCCGUGUGCGGGAGGACGGCCUUCGGGUUGGAAACCGCUUUCGCUCAUGACGAAGCUUUGUGUGACGGUAGUGGGUAAAGAAGCACCGGCUAACUACGUG
rnacentral:rRNA from 1 species